GUGAAAUGUUAUUUUAUUUUGGUACUGUUGGCAAGUGCUUUGCUUCUUCUCUAGAGCCUCAUCUUGAAAAAAAUAGAAAGACAUCAAGCAGGAUGGUUCUUAGAAAGGCUGGGCUUGCCGCACAGUGUUGUCACUUGAGCACAUGGAUCAGCUGCCACGGGAGACAAGAGACGUGACCCACUGCUGAGCACCUCAAAGGCGUGAGUAUCACCAUUUUUCAGUGACAAUGAAGUGCAAAGGGGCCUUAAUACAACCUGAAAACCUUUGGAAAAAGUUAUUUUUAACCCCAUGCCUACAAUUCGCUGCUUCUUAAGCAUAAUUAAUGGAAGAAACCCACCAUAGGAAUCAUUUUGUAGCUGAAAUUAGCUGACACUCCAAGGCACACUGGGAGUUGCUGGCAUUUGAAGUAUGGGCUGUUGCCAAUUUCAAUACGCACGUUUGCUAGGUAAACUCCCUUUGAGUACUCUUGUACCCUGUCAACUCUGGCAUUAAAGACAGGGGCCCACUGUUCAGACACAAAAUUUCUCCUUAGGAGAGCUGCUCAACCCCGGAUGCAAACUUCGAAAAAAGAACAACCAGACUCAAAAUAAUGAAUAUGGGCAAAGCUAAGAGGAGUAUUACCAGUUACAGUAAUAAAAUUGUUCCCUUCGUUUAGAAUAAAGCCA
rnacentral:lncRNA from 1 species